GGGCGCAUAGCUCAGCGGGAGAGCACUACGUUGACAUCGUAGGGGUCGCUGGUUCAAUCCCAGCUGCGCCCACCA
rnacentral:tRNA from 4 species